rnacentral:rRNA from 1 species
GGAGGGUGCAAGCGUUGUUCGGAAUUACUGGGCGUAAAGGGCGUGUAGGCGGUGUGGUAAGUCAGAUGUGAAAGCCCUGGGCUUAACCCAGGAAGUGCAUUUGAAACUGCCAUGCUUGAGUAUGGGAGAGGAGAGUGGAAUUCCCAGUGUAGAGGUGAAAUGCGUAGAGAUGUGGAGGAACACCGAUGGCGAAGGCAGCCUCCUGGGCCAAUACUGACGCUCAUGCACGAAAGCGUGGGGAGCAAACAGGAUUAGAUACCCUGGUAGUCCACGCCCUAAACGAUGAUGACUAGUUGUUGGAGGAGUUAAAUCCUUUAGUAACGCAGCUAACGCGAGAAGUCAUCCGCCUGGGGAGUACGGUCGCAAGAUUA